AUUUUCAUUUCGGUGAUAAUACGCCGUGGAGAGUGGCGAACGGGUGCGUAACACGUAGGUAACCUGCCCUGAAAGGGGGGAUAACCACGGGAAACUGUGGCUAAUACCGCAUAAUCUCGCCGGGACGGUGGUUUCGGUGAGGAAAGCUGAGGCGAUUUGGGAGGGGCCUGCGGUCGAUUAGCUUGUUGGUGGGGUAAAAGCCUACCAAGGCGAUGAUCGAUAGCUGUUCUGAGAGGAAGACCAGCCACACGGGAACUGAGACACGGUUCCGACUCCUACGGGGGGCAGCAGUGAGGAAUAUUGCGCAAUGGGGGAAACCCUGACGCAGCAACGCCGCGUGGAGGACGAAGGUUUUCGGAUUGUAAACUCCUUAACUGGGGGAAGAGGAAGGACGGUACCCCAGGACGAAGACACGGCUAACUAGGUGCCAGCAGCCGCGGUAAUACCUAGGUGUCAAGCGUUAUCCGGAAUUACUGGGCGUAAAGGGUGCGCAGGCGGCGAUACAAGUCUGGCGUGAAAGCUUCUGGCUUAACUGGGAGAGGACGUUAGAAACUGUAUGGCUAGAGUGAAUGAGAGGGGGGCGGAAAUCCCGGUGUAGUGGUGGAAUGCGUAGAUAUCGGGAAGAACACCAGAGGCGAAGGCGGCCUCCUGGCAUUUUACUGACGCUGAGGCACGAAAGCGUGGGUAGCGAACGGGAUUAGAUACCCCGGUAGUCCACGCUGUAAACGAUGUGAACGAGGUGUGGGCGGUGUAGAAGCCGUCUGUGCCGGAGCAAACGCGAUAAGUUCACCGCCUGGGGAGUACGGUCGCAAGGCUAAAACUCAAAGGAAUUGACGGGGGCCCGCACAAGCAGCGGAGCGUGUGGUUUAAUUCGAUGCAACGCGAAGAACCUUACCUGGGCUUGACAUGUACGUAGUAGUGAAGGGAAACCCGGAACGAGCCUUCGGG
rnacentral:rRNA from 1 species